UGGGGAAUAUUGCACAAUGGGCGCAAGCCUGAUGCAGCCAUGCCGCGUGUGUGAAGAAGGCCUUCGGGUUGUAAAGCACUUUCAGCGAGGAGGAAGGUGGUGAGCUUAAUACGCUCAUCAAUUGACGUUACUCGCAGAAGAAGCACCGGCUAACUCCGUGCCAGCAGCCGCGGUAAUACGGGGGUGCAAAGCGUUAAUCGGAAUUACUGGGCGUAAAGCGCACGCAGGCGGUUUGUUAAGUCAGAUGUGAAAUCCCCGGGCUCAACCUGGGAACUGCAUUUGAAACUGGCAAGCUAGAGUCUCGUAGAGGGGGGUAGAAUUCCAGGUGUAGCGGUGAAAUGCGUUAGAGAUCUGGAGGAAUACCGGUGGCGAAGGCGGCCCCCGUGGACGAAGACUGACGCUCAGGUGCGAAAGCGUGGGAGCAAACA
rnacentral:rRNA from 1 species